AACCUAGCACACCUGCGGUGUGUACCUGCGGAGGGAUCAUUAAAAAAGUACGGGGGAGAUGUCGCUCUUGUUUCUUUGGAAUCAGGACGGCGUUUCCUUUUUAGUAUCCAAAUUCUAGAUUUUUCGAGUCUGACAUACAUAUGUAUGCUUAGAUUCAAUAAAAAUUAAAAAAAAAAUUGAAAAAACUUUUAGCAACGGAUCU
rnacentral:misc_RNA from 1 species